rnacentral:rRNA from 1 species
GAUGAACGCUGGCGGCGUGCCUAAUACAUGCAAGUCGAGCGAACAGACGAGGAGCUUGCUCCUCUGACGUUAGCGGCGGACGGGCGAGUAACACGUGGAUAACCUGCCUAUAAGACUGGGAUAACUUCGGGAAACCGGAGCCAAUACCGGAUAAUAUAUUGAACCGCAUGGAUCAAUAGUGAAAGACGGUUUUGCUGUCACUUAUAGAUGGAUCCGCGCUGGAUUAGCUAGGUGGUAAGGUAACGGCUUACCAAGGAGACGAUCCGUAGCCGACCUGAGGGGGUGAUCAGCCACACUGGAACUGAGACACGGUCCAGACUCCUACGGGAGGCAGCAGUGGGGAAUCUUCCACAAUGGGCGAAAGCCUGACCGAGCAACGCCGCGUGAGUGAUGAAGGUCUUCGGAUCGUAAAACUCUGUUGUUGGGAAAGAAAAAAUGUAUAAGAAACUCUGCACGUCUUGACGGUACCUAAUCAAAAAGCAACGGCUAACUUCGUG